CUCAAUGAUUAUUAUUAUUAAAUAGCCGCAAYAUCUGUGCUAAGGUAGCAUAAUCAUUUGUUUUUUAAUUAAAAACUAGAAUGAAAGACUUCACAUUUAAAUUUCUUUAUUAAUUUUAAAAUAAUUAACCUAUAUUAAGUAUAAAAAUAUACUUAUUAAAAAAAAAGACGACAAGACCCUAUUAAAUUUUACUUAUUGUUAAGCUGGGGAAGCUUAUUAAAAAUAAUUUUAAAUUAAAUAAAAAAAAUAUCUAAUAAAAUUAAAAUUAUAAACAAAUUACUAUAGGGAUAACAGCGUUAUAUUAUUUUAAAGUUCAUAUUUAUAAUAAAAAUUGCGACCUCGAUG
rnacentral:rRNA from 1 species